rnacentral:rRNA from 1 species
CAGCAGCCACGGUAAUACGUAGGGCGCAAGCGUUAUCCGGAAUUAUUGGGCGUAAAGAGCUCGUAGGCGGUUUGUCGCGUCUGCUGUGAAAACCCGAGGCUCAACCUCGGGCCUGCAGUGGGUACGGGCAGACUAGAGUGCGGUAGGGGAGAUUGGAAUUCCUGGUGUAGCGGUGGAAUGCGCAGAUAUCAGGAGGAACACUGAUGGCGAAGGCAGAUCUCUGGGCCGUAACUGACGCUGAGGAGCGAAAGGGUGGGGAGCAAACAGGCUUAGAUACCCCUGUAGUCCCUGUCUCUUAUAC